rnacentral:rRNA from 1 species
GGGUUGUGAGGUUAAGCGACUAAGCGUACACGGUGGAUGCCCUGGCAGUCAGAGGCGAUGAAGGACGUGCUAAUCUGCGAUAAGCGCCGGUAAGGUGAUAUGAACCGUUAUAACCGGCGAUUUCCGAAUGGGGAAACCCAGUGUGACUCGUCACACUAUCAUUAACUGAAUCCAUAGGUUAAUGAGGCGAACCGGGGGAACUGAAACAUCUAAGUACCCCGAGGAAAAGAAAUCAACCGAGAUUCCCCCAGUAGCGGCGAGCGAACGGGGAGGAGCCCAGAGCCUGAAUCAGCAUGUGUGUUAGUGGAAGCGUCUGGAAAGGCGCGCGAUACAGGGUGACAGCCCCGUACACAAAAGCGCAUGUGCUGUGAGCUCGAUGAGUAGGGCGGGACACGUGGUAUCCUGUCUGAAUAUGGGGGGACCAUCCUCCAAGGCUAAAUACUCCUGACUGACCGAUAGUGAACCAGUACCGUGAGGGAAAGGCGAAAAGAACCCCGGCGAGGGGAGUGAAAAAGAACCUGAAACCGUGUACGUACAAGCAGUGGGAGCACAGGUUUACCUGUGUGACUGCGUACCUUUUGUAUAAUGGGUCAGCGACUUAUAUUCUGUAGCAAGGUUAACCGAAUAGGGGAGCCGGAGGGAAACCGAGUCUUAAUUGGGCGUUAAGUUGCAGGGUAUAGACCCGAAACCCGGUGAUCUAGCCAUGGGCAGGUUGAAGGUUGGGUAACACUAACUGGAGGACCGAACCGACUAAUGUUGAAAAAUUAGCGGAUGACCUGUGGCUGGGGGUGAAAGGCCAAUCAAACCGGGAGAUAGCUGGUUCUCCCCGAAAGCUAUUUAGGUAGCGCCUCGUGAAUUCAUCUCCGGGGGUAGAGCACUGUUUCGGCUAGGGGGCCAUCCCGGCUUACCAACCCGAUGCAAACUGCGAAUACCGGAGAAUGUUAUCACGGGAGACACACGGCGGGUGCUAACGUCCGUCGUGAAGAGGGAAACAACCCAGACCGCCAGCUAAGGUCCCAAAGUCAUGGUUAAGUGGGAAACGAUGUGGGAAGGCCCAGACAGCCAGGAUGUUGGCUUAGAAGCAGCCAUCAUUUAAAGAAAGCGUAAUAGCUCACUGGUCGAGUCGGCCUGCGCGGAAGAUGUAACGGGGCUAAACCAUGCACCGAAGCUGCGGCAGCGACGCUGAUGCGUUGUUGGGUAGGGGAGCGUUCUGUAAGCCUGCGAAGGUGGCCUGUGAGGGUUGCUGGAGGUAUCAGAAGUGCGAAUGCUGACAUAAGUAACGAUAAAGCGGGUGAAAAGCCCGCUCGCCGGAAGACCAAGGGUUCCUGUCCAACGUUAAUCGGGGCAGGGUGAGUCGACCCCUAAGGCGAGGCCGAAAGGCGUAGUCGAUGGGAAACGGGUUAAUAUUCCCGUACUUGGUGUUACUGCGAAGGGGGGACGGAGAAGGCUAUGUUGGCCGGGCGACGGUUGUCCCGGUUUAAGCGUGUAGGUGUGUGUUCCAGGUAAAUCCGGUUCACUUUAACACUGAGGCGUGAUGACGAGGCACUACGGUGCUGAAGCAACAAAUGCCCUGCUUCCAGGAAAAGCCUCUAAGCAUCAGGUAACAUCAAAUCGUACCCCAAACCGACACAGGUGGUCAGGUAGAGAAUACCAAGGCGCUUGAGAGAACUCGGGUGAAGGAACUAGGCAAAAUGGUGCCGUAACUUCGGGAGAAGGCACGCUGACACGUAGGUGAAGUGAUUUACUCAUGGAGCUGAAGUCAGUCGAAGAUACCAGCUGGCUGCAACUGUUUAUUAAAAACACAGCACUGUGCAAACACGAAAGUGGACGUAUACGGUGUGACGCCUGCCCGGUGCCGGAAGGUUAAUUGAUGGGGUCAGCGCAAGCGAAGCUCCUGAUCGAAGCCCCGGUAAACGGCGGCCGUAACUAUAACGGUCCUAAGGUAGCGAAAUUCCUUGUCGGGUAAGUUCCGACCUGCACGAAUGGCGUAAUGAUGGCCAGGCUGUCUCCACCCGAGACUCAGUGAAAUUGAACUCGCUGUGAAGAUGCAGUGUACCCGCGGCAAGACGGAAAGACCCCGUGAACCUUUACUAUAGCUUGACACUGAACAUUGAGCCUUGAUGUGUAGGAUAGGUGGGAGGCUUUGAAGUGUGGACGCCAGUCUGCAUGGAGCCGACCUUGAAAUACCACCCUUUAAUGUUUGAUGUUCUAACGUGGACCCGUGAUCCGGGUUGCGGACAGUGUCUGGUGGGUAGUUUGACUGGGGCGGUCUCCUCCUAAAGAGUAACGGAGGAGCACGAAGGUUGGCUAAUCCUGGUCGGACAUCAGGAGGUUAGUGCAAUGGCAUAAGCCAGCUUGACUGCGAGCGUGACGGCGCGAGCAGGUGCGAAAGCAGGUCAUAGUGAUCCGGUGGUUCUGAAUGGAAGGGCCAUCGCUCAACGGAUAAAAGGUACUCCGGGGAUAACAGGCUGAUACCGCCCAAGAGUUCAUAUCGACGGCGGUGUUUGGCACCUCGAUGUCGGCUCAUCACAUCCUGGGGCUGAAGUAGGUCCCAAGGGUAUGGCUGUUCGCCAUUUAAAGUGGUACGCGAGCUGGGUUUAGAACGUCGUGAGACAGUUCGGUCCCUAUCUGCCGUGGGCGCUGGAGAACUGAGGGGGGCUGCUCCUAGUACGAGAGGACCGGAGUGGACGCAUCACUGGUGUUCGGGUUGUCAUGCCAAUGGCACUGCCCGGUAGCUAAAUGCGGAAGAGAUAAGUGCUGAAAGCAUCUAAGCACGAAACUUGCCCCGAG